UGAGGAACAUGACCUUCGGCGGGGGAUAGCCGGCCCAACGGCCGGGUAAUACCGCGUACGACCCUCGGGGGGCAUCCCCUGAAGGUGAAAGCCGCAAGGCGCCGAUGGAGAACUUCGCGGCCUAUCAGCUAGUUGGUGAGGUCAUGGCUCACCAAGGCGACGACGGGUANCUGGUCCGAGAGGAUGACCAGCCACAUUGGGACUGAGACACGGCCCAGACCUCCGUACGGGGAGCAG
rnacentral:rRNA from 1 species